GUAACAGGAAGCAGCUUGCUGCUUUGCUGACGAGUGGCGGACGGGUGAGUAAUGUCUGGGAAACUGCCUGAUGGAGGGGGAUAACUACUGGAAACGGUAGCUAAUACCGCAUACCGUCGCAAGACCAAAGAGGGGGACCUUCGGGCCUCUUGCCAUCGGAUGUGCCCAGAUGGGAUUAGCUAGUAGGUGGGGUAAAGGCUCACCUAGGCGACGAUCCCUAGCUGGUCUGAGAGGAUGACCAGCCACACUGGAACUGAGACACGGUCCAGACUCCUACGGGAGGCAGCAGUGGGGAAUAUUGCACAAUGGGCGCAAGCCUGAUGCAGCCAUGCCGCGUGUAUGAAGAAGGCCUUCGGGUUGUAAAGUACUUUCAGCGGGGAGGAAGGGAGUAAAGUUAAUACCUUUGCUCAUUGACGUUACCCGCAGAAGAAGCACCGGCUAACUCCGUGCCAGCAGCCGCGGUAAUACGGAGGGUGCAAGCGUUAAUCGGAAUUACUGGGCGUAAAGCGCACGCAGGCGGUUUGUUAAGUCAGAUGUGAAAUCCCCGGGCUCAACCUGGGAACUGCAUCUGAUACUGGCAAGCUUGAGUCUCGUAGAGGGGGGUAGAAUUCCAGGUGUAGCGGUGAAAUGCGUAGAGAUCUGGAGGAAUACCGGUGGCGAAGGCGGCCCCCUGGACGAAGACUGA
rnacentral:rRNA from 1 species